rnacentral:misc_RNA from 1 species
CUCAAGGACAACAUGCUUGAUGUUUUCACCGGCAACAUACUUUGCUUCAGUUAGGGCAAAUGAAGCGGAUUUCAUGAUCUCUCCCAUUGAUUCUUUUGUCGUGACAAUCUUCUUAAGAAUUUGACGGAACUGCACAGUCAAAGCAUCACUCUUCUUCUUGAGAAGAGCAUGACCCCUUGUAGCACCAACAAGGCGAGCUUUAACAACAGCAAGCAUUGUAACAGUUGGAACUACAUUCAAGCGCUGGCCUUGGCCUGACAUAUUUCAGAAAAUCUGAUGAGAGUGAGAGCUGACACAGAUCUGAUUAGUUUUAGCUGUCGGGCUGACACAAAUUUCUCUCCUCGUGAUUUCUGGCUGAUUCGACUCUCUUCUCCUUGUCGCAAUCGCAACUGGCUUUUGUAC